rnacentral:lncRNA from 1 species
UUUGCAAAACUUCUGGGACACUCUGUUCCAGAUCAAACACGGAACAACUGUAGACAUCAAAGGAAAAGCUCCGUGCCAGUCAGUCUGCAGUCGAAAUUAAAGGAAGAGGAAGCCCCAGUCCGUGUGAAUAUCAAGUGGAAGGCGCCUCCUAUUGGAUGGGCGAAGGUGAAUGUAGAUGGUGCCUAUGUCGCUGCAACGGGGAAGGCGGGUGCUGGUAUCAUUAUCCGGAACCAUAUGGGAGAAGUGCUGCUGUCGUCAUGGCGCACAAUCAAGAAUUGCGGUUCGGCGGAGGAAGCUGAUCAAGCUGUGUCCUGCAGAGAUGGUAUUCGACUCUUGGUGGAAUGGGUGAAAAUGCCAAUGAUUCUCGAAACGGACUGUGCUAACAUUGGUCGGGCCAUGGUGAUUCGUGAAGCCCGGGCGGCGUUAUCCCUAAUCCCUGAGUAUCGCCUUCAGGUGGCUAGAAGAGAGGCAAACAAAGCUGCGCAUGGGCUGGCGCAGUAUGCAAGGAGAACAAAUCAAACUGUUGUGUGGCGGGAACACGCCCCUGAGUGUUAUUCUGUUUUUAUAGCGGAUGAUUGUAACCAGACUUAG